AUACGGAGGAUCCGAGCGUUAUCCGGAUUUAUUGGGUUUAAAGGGUGCGCAGGCGGCCAUUUAAGUCAGCGGUUAAAUCGUGGGGCUCAACCCCAUUCUGCCGUUGAUACUGGGUGGCUUGAUUGCGGUCGAGGUUGGCGGAAUUCGUUGUGUAGCGGUGAAAUGCAUAGAUAUGACGAAGAACACCGAUUGCGUAGGCAGCUGACCAGACCGCAAAUGACGCUCGUGCACGAAAGUGCGGGGAUCGAACAGGAUUAGAUACCCUGGUAGUCCGCACAGUAAACGAUGAAUACUUGUUUUCGGCGAUAUAAUGUCGGAGGCGAAGCGAAAGCGAUAAGUAUUCCACCUGGGGAGUACGCCGGCAACGGUGAAACUCAAAGGAAUUGACGGGG
rnacentral:rRNA from 1 species